UUGCUUCCCCAGCAGAUAUACUAAAAUUGGAAUGACACGGAGAUUAGCAUGGUGCCUGCACAGAGAUGACACACAAAUUUGUGAAGUGUUUCAUAUUUGA
rnacentral:snRNA from 1 species